UACGGAGGAUCCGAGCGUUAUCCGGAUUUAUUGGGUUUAAAGGGUGCGCAGGCGGGGGAUUAAGUCGGCGGUGAAACUUUGCAGCUCAACUGUAAAAGUGCCUUCGAUACUGGCUUCCUUGAGUGUGGAUGAAGUAGGCGGAAUUUGUGGUGUAGCGGUGAAAUGCUUAGAUAUCACGAGGAACUCCGAUUGCGCAGGCAGCUUACUAAACCACUACUGACGCUCAUGCACGAAGGCGUGGGGAUCAAACAGGAUUAGAUACCCU
rnacentral:rRNA from 1 species